rnacentral:misc_RNA from 1 species
GCAAACUUGGUCAUUUAGAGGAAGUAAAAGUCGUAACAAGGUCUCCGUAGGUGAACCUGCGGAGGGAUCAUUACACAAUAACAUAUGAAGGCUGUACGCGGCUGUGCCCUCGGGCCAGUUUGGCGGAGGCUGGAGUAUUUAUUACCCUUGUCUUUUGCGCACUUGUUGUUUCCUGGGCGGGUCCGCCCGCCACCAGGACCACAUGAUAAACCUUUUUUUAUGCAGUUGCAAUCAGCGUCAGUACAACAAAUGUAAAAUCAUUUACAACUUUCAACAACGGAUCUCUUGGUUCUGGCAUCGAUGAAGAACGCAGC